GGAGAUGUGCCAGAGCGGCUGAUCGGGCCAGUCUCGAAAACUGGUAUGCCCGCAAGGGUAUCGGAGGUUCGAAUCCUCCCAUCUCCG
rnacentral:tRNA from 1 species